rnacentral:tmRNA from 1 species
GGGGAUGUUCUGGCUUCGACGCUGGUGAUGAAACUCAAUGAUGCAUGUCAAGUGGCUAUGAUCACUUGUCAAAAAAUCAUAGAAUUUUAUAGUCGCAAACGACGAAACCUACGCUCUAGCAGCCUAAGGGCUGCUUUGCCGCUGAUGAGUGUGUCUGUAAACUCUGAUGCCGCACGAAGCGAACGCUUACAGAAUCGCCUAAGCCGCUGUCUCAGCAGUAAGGGUUAAAACUAUCGAGGCUCGCCUGAAGUAACCUGACCGUUGGUUCACUAAAGGUUAAAACCGAUAACGGAGUCUAAACAUGUAGACUCAUGAGUGUAAUGCCGGCGGACGCGGGUUCGACUCCCGCCAUCUCCACCA